ensembl:lncRNA
GGAAGAACCUUGUUAAAUGGACAGGGAUAACUACUGGAGGUGACAGAAGACACGUGCAGGUUUCAGGAAGGACAGCAGAACUGCCGGUAAAUACGAACCUACCCUUCCCAUUGCAGGUUCGGCUUUUGUGCCCUACCCUUGCCUGCCCAGCCUUCCUUCCCCCUCACACUCGCUGCUACCCACUGACCGAGGCGCUGAGCAGAAGUAGCAGUCGCUUACCAGCCUGCAGCCCGGCCCCGAGGCUCCCAGCCCUGCCAGCCCCGGCCCACCACACUCCUCUUGCCGGGGCACCUCUCUAAUCACCCCCCAGCCCGGGGAGGGAGCACUGACUGGGGUGGCCCGGCCGCAGGGUGAAGUCACCCGGUGACCCUGUCACCAAAAGGCCUCACCGUUUUUGGCAAGCCCAGCAGAACAGGGAUUCCCAACUGCUCAGCUCCUUCCAAGGCAAAGCUCCCUGGCUGGGAAAGGCCUCUGGUACAGUGUAUCCCACUGUCACCGCUUCAGAGCGAUCCACUGAGCUGGGAUUGGAACACACUGUGGAAGUGAUCCCACUCCUGACACCCUGCCAGCUAUCACAAGAUGCACAUUCACAGCUGCAAUAUAAUGUGGUUUCACUGAAGUCAGUAAUCUUAGGACCAGAUUCUCAAACCCAGAUCCAGCAGACAUUUGCAGGAAACAUAUCCCCUGUCUUGUAGAGCUCAUAGUCCUCAAUCCUUUCUGGAGGAGACUUCCUCUCCUACCAGCAAGGAUCAACUGCCGACAUCACCUGCUACUUUUCCUCCAUGCCUUAAGUGCUCAUCUCAACGCAGAACACAUCAAUUCCCAGAUCUGGAAGUCUUAAGCCCUCAGUUCUCGCUUAUUAGGGCUCCUAAUCACUGGGCUGUUCUCAUGGGGAAAAAUCCCCACCCCACCCCUCCUUUGAAGGCAUUUCACUUUGCAUAAAAAUGCACUAGGCCGGGGGAAGGAGAAGGAAGGAACGAGACUAUUAAGUCUGCUGGUUGCGGUGCUUGCCAAAGCCUGGAGCUCCCAUCUCCCAGUCAGCGCUCAGAAGCAGAUUUAAUCAGGUUCCCACCAAGUCUUCCUUCACCCAAGAGAAAAAACGUUCUGCACGAAAAAGAGGCUGACCAUGUGGUGACAAAGCAGUAGGAUAAGAGGAUGGCCAAUUGGAAAAGAGGCACCUGGGCAUCUGUUGCACCAAAUACAGCAUGUUGUGUGAUGAAAAGAUGGUCGCUCUUCAAAAGAAGAAGUUCCAGUAUUUGCUAAAACAGUUCUAUACAGGUUAAUACUCGAAUAUCUGUAGUAGGCCUUGCCAGGGGAAGUUUCCAGGAACAGUACUAAAUUUAUGAUGAAUGGCAACAGAUGGUCAUUGGAAAUAGUAACUUAAGGAAACGUGAUAUGACUACG